GUGAAUUGUGUGGAUGGAGCGGCGGUAGAUCGGGGGGGGACGUCGUUGUCCUGAAGCAGUGGGCGUAAAGCGAGGGUAGGCGGCCCUGUAAGGCCGUUGUGAAAUGCAAAGGCGCAAGCAUGGAAAGCCGAUGGAUACUGCAGGGCGAGAGUCCGGAAGAGGCGAGUGGAAUUCCUGGUGGAGCGGUGGAAUGCGCAGAUAUCAGGAGGAACACCAAUAGCGAAGGCAGCUCGCUGGGACGGUACUGACGCUAAGGCGCGAAAGCGUGGGGAGCGAACAGGAUUAGAUACCCUGGUAGUC
rnacentral:rRNA from 1 species